GAGGGUCGAGAGAUGGUCGGUCGUGGGUCGAGGGUCGAUCGCGGGUCGAUCGAAGGUCGAGAGGGUCAAUAGAAGGUCGGUCAAGGGUCGGUCAAGGGUCGGUCGAGGGUCGGUCGUGGGUCGAGGGUCGAGAGAUGGUCGGUCGUGGGUCGAGGGUCGAGAGAUGGUUGGUCGACGGUCGAGGGUCGAUCGCGGGUCGAGGGGGUCGAUAGAAGGUCGAUAAAAGGUCGAUCGAGGGUCGGUCAAUGGUCGGUCAAGGGUCGGUUGAGGGUCGGUCGAGGGUCGGUGAAGGGUCGGUCGAAGGUCGGUCGAAGGUCGGUCGAGGGUCGAUCGCGGGUCGAUCGAGGGUCGAGAGGGUCGAUAGAAGGUCGAUCAAGGGUCGAGAGGGUCGAUAGAAGGUCGAUCAAGGGUCGGUCAAGGGUCGGUCAAGGGUCGGUCGAGGGUCGAGAGAUGGUCGGUCGUGGGUCGUGGGUCGAGGGUCGAGAGAUGGUCGGUCGAGGGUCGAGGGUCGAUCGCGGGUCGAUGGAGGGUCGAGAGGGUCGAUAGAAGGUCGAUCGAGGGUCGAGAGGGUCGAUAGAAGGGUCGGUCGAGGGUUGGUCAAGGGUCGGUCGAGGGUCGGUCGAGGUCGGUCGAGGGUCGAGAGUGGGUCGAGGGUCGAGAGAUGGUCGGUCGUGGGUCGAGGGUCGAGAGAUUGUCGGUCGAGGGUCGAGGGUCGAUCGCGGGUCGAUCGAGGGUCGAGAGGGUCGAUAGAAGGUCGAUCGAGGGUCGAGAGGGUCGAUAGAAGGGUCGGUCGAGGGUUGGUCAAGGGUCGGUCGAGGGUCGGUCGAGGUCGGUCGAGGGUCGAGAGUGGGUCGAGGGUCGAGAGAUGGUCGGUCGUGGGUCGAGGGUCGAGAGAUUGUCGGUCGAGGGUCGAGGGUCGAUCGCGGGUCGAUCGAGGGUCGAGAGGGUCGAUAGAAGGUCGAUCGAGGGUCGAGAGGGUCGAUAGAAGGUCGAUCAAGGGUCGGUCAAUGGUCGGUCAAGGGUCGAUCGAGGGUCGGUCGAGGGUCGAUCGAGGGUCGAGAGGGUCGAUAGAAGGUCGAUCGAGGGUCGAGAGGGUCGAUAGAAGGUCGAUCAAGGGUCGGUCAAUGGUCGGUCAAGGGUCGAUCGAGGGUCGGUCGAGGGUCGAUCGAGGGUCGAGAGGGUCGAUAGAAGGUCGAUCGAGGGUCGAGAGGGUCGAUGGAAGGUCGGUCAAGGGUCGGUCGGUCAAGGGUCGGUCGGUCGGGGGUCGAUCGCGGGUCGAUCGAGGGUCGAGGGUCGAUCGAGGAUCGAGGGUCGAUAGAAGGUCGAUCGAGGGUCGAGAGAGGGUCGAUCGAGGGUCGAUACGCGCGAAAACUGGCCUGAUGCGUACCGCGAUGCGAGAAAUUUUUUUGCCUCGAGUAACUUUCGAAAAUGACCGAAUUGAUUGCAAUGUUUUGUGACCGAAACUAAUGAAAUACAUCAAUGAAGGGUUCUGGA